GCCCUCUGCAUCCCAAUGGUUGAGUUUUCGCUGCCUUGGAAACGACGACGUAUGAGAGCAGACACCCCAGAGAUCUCUCCCCUCCUCCUCCUCCUCCUCCUCUUCACCAGCUCCUCCGUUUCUCCGGUCAAGCCGUGUGUGUGUGUGUGUGUGUGUGUGCGCGUGUGUGUGUGUGUGUGUGUGUGUGUGCCAUCUCUCUCUCUCACCGUACAUGGAAGGUUUAAUAUGAAUGGCACACCGCGGGUUUGAUAACGACGUGAUUUUAUUUUAUUAAAAGGAAGACGACGAGGAUCUGAGGUUUUUCCAACGCGAGGGACUUGCAGGUGUAGGUCAUCAUGCCGCUGGUGAAGCGCAGCAUCGAACCCCGCCACCUGUGUCGGGGGGCGGUGCCGGACCAUGUGACCAGCGAGCUGGAGUGUGUGACCAAUAGCACGCUGGCAGCAGUCAUCAAGCAGCUGGGCAGCCUCAGCCGGCACGCGGAGGACAUCUUCGGGGAGCUGUUCAACGAGGCCAACAGCUUCUACCUGAGGAUGAGCGGCCUCCAGGACCGCGUGGACCUGCUGGCCGUCAAGGUCACCCAGCUGGACUCCACCAUCGAGGAGGUCUCCCUUCAGGACAUCAACAUGAGGAAGGCGUUCAAGAGCAGUACCAUCCAGGACCAGCAGGUGGUGUCCCGCUCCUCCGUGCCCAACCCCGUGGUGGAGAUGUACCACCGCUGUGACAAGCCCCCGCCCCUCAACAUACUCAGCCCCUAUAGGGACGACAAGAAGGAGGCGCUGAAGUUCUACACUGACCCGUCGUACUUCUUCAACCUGUGGAAGGAGAAGAUGCUGCAGGCCACCGAGGACAAGAGGAAGGAGAAGAGACGCCAGAAGAGCUGCCCGGCCCACCCUGACAGACCCCUCUCCAGGCAGGCCGCUCCGAGAAGCCCCCUGUCCAUCGAACAACAGAAGCAUUCAGAGGACCCAGGGAGGGAGGUGAAGAAGGUCCGCAAGGCGCGGAACCGCCGGCAGGAGUGGAACGUCCUGGCGUACGAUAAGGAGUUCAGACCGGACGCCCGCCUCACGCCCUCCCCCUACCACGGCAUGUCCUCCGAGGGGUCCCUGUCCCCCGACAACAGGUCUCUGGCCUCGGACUCGUACCCGGCCAGCCCCUGCCACCCCCCAGCCCAGCCGGGCCCCGGGGCCCCCCACCCGGCCGACCCCCAGCUGGCCCACACCCAGUCCCUGGACCGGGGCCUCCGGCCGGCCAACCAGCCCCCGGGGGCCGGAGGGGCCGCCGGGGGGGCCGGGAGGGGCCGCCACGUGGCCUCCCUGGGCAGGUUGCCGUCGGGCCACGGGGCCCACGUGGGGGCGGACCCUACGGUCAACGGGCCCCGGCAGCAGUCCAUCAAGGACUACAGGGCCGGGCACAGCAGCCAGCCCUCCACCAUCCCCGAGUACUACAUCCCCCCGGCCCCCCCCCCCUCCCCCGCCCACCAUCCCCUCCGCCCAGACGGCCUUCGACGCCACCGCCUCCCCCCCGCCCCACCCCCCCUCCUCCUCCUCCUCCUCCUCCGCCUCCGUGGCCCCGCCCGCCAACUACUGCCCCUCCCCCCCGCCCCCCCCGCCCGCCAACUACGUCCCCUCCCCCUCCCACCCUCCCCCGGCCGCUCCCCCUCUGCCUCCCCCCGCCCCCCUCCCCCCUUCGGCCAUCGCUGCCGCCGCCGCCUACGGUUCGCCAGGCCACGCCCACUCCGGCGAAGCCCCGCCCCCUGGCCGGAAGGGCACCGCCAUCUUGGGGCUGAUGCCCAUGAGCGACGCCCGCUCAGACCUGCUGGCCGCCAUACGCAGAGGGAUCCAGCUGAGGAAGGUGCAGGAGCAGCGGGAGCAGGAGGCUAAGAGGGAGCCGGUGGGCAACGACGUGGCCACCAUCUUGUCCCGCCGCAUCGCCGUGGAGUACAGCGAGUCGGACGACGACUCGGAGCUCGACGACAACGACUGGUCCGACUAGAGCGGGCGGCCGGGGGCGAGUGAGGGAGGAGAGGCAUGGAGGAGGGAGAGAGAGGGGGAGAGAGAGAGAGAGAGAGAGAAGCGGAAUGGAGGGAGGUUGAUAGGUUACCAAAAACACAUUGGAAAAUUUGGAAUUUGUACACGUACACACACACACACACACACACACACACACACACACACACACACACACACACACACACACACACACACACACACACACACACACGGCCAAGUACACACAAGUGCACGCUCAUGCGCAUGCAAAAAAUAUAUACGAUGUCUACCGUGUCGCUGCCACUAGUAUCUCCACGGUAACCUUUGUGGUAAUUAUACCUUGCCCGGUUGCCCCUGACGACAACGGUUGUUCUAGAGUGUGAUGACUUGAGGACACACGCACACAAAUUAUAACACAUACAUGAACACACAUACACACAAACACACCAACACACGCACACAACCGUUUGUGUGAAAUUUGUAAACCUUAACAUUUAGCCGUGUUCAAUGUGCCCGCCCAUUUUCUUCCUCUAUGCGUAACUGAUAGUCGGAUAGUUGUUAGCAAUACAUACAAGCUGUGAUAGCACAAGCUAAAGCUAGCUAGCUGUACCCCUAGUCCAGUGGUACUGGACUAGGAGUCCUAAUCGUACUCUUAAUAAUUGGGACUAGUUAGCUAGCUGCGGUCUUAGCUAGCUGGGCUCCAUGCUAACUGGACGCUGGUUAGCUUAGACUCCUGUUUAGCUAGACAACUAGCUAGCGGGAACCAGGAAUAUUAGUUUACAAAGCACAGGAGAUGGCACAAGUUAAAAAAAAAUGUAGUGAUGAUGAUAAAUAAUUAUUGUGCAAUCGUAACUUAUUUGCCAAAUGUUGAGUCAGACUUGGAAAGGAAAGGCAAGGGGUAGAGAACCACUAUUCAGAGAACUGGUCACUUGAUAGUUCUAACAAAUGCGCCCUCUGAAUGCUAUACUGAUUGUGGCACAGUUUGCCAAACUCCACCCAUAUGAGAUACCCAGGUGUGGGAAAACAAACGCUCCCCAUUGAGGGACACUGGGUCGACUCCAGUCAAAGUGACAUUGUUGUGUUUUUACGAGUCAUUCGCAACUUUCUAACUAACAUUUCCGCUGGUAAUGUGUGCAGUGCAGUAUUAGUCUUGAUAGCAACGCUUAUUACACAUAACUGCCACUAAGGCGACAAUAAUCAAGGGGAGGGGUGUGAGUUCACGUCUUCAUGACAUCACGCAUGUAAAUCAGCGACCUUUAACCCUUGAAUCCGGGCCUGGGAAUAUGAAUUUACACUUUAAAUAGAAACUGAUACAGUGAUAUCUUUAAUAUCUACUAUCUAAUGAAUAUUGAUUAUAGAGUUUGGUCUGAACAUGGACGUGAGAGUUUAUGAUUGUUUGACUCUAGUCCUUAAUUUUUUAUUUAUUUGUUUAUAAUUGUGCUCGAUGUGUUUUCAGGAGAGCUUUGUCUCCUUUCUAGACGCCGGUGAUGUUGUUUAUGCGGGACAAAAAAAAAAGACCCUCACUCAUUCUACCUUGGGACUGUUUUAUAGUUUUUUUUAUUAUGUCUUUCUGGCCACAUUCACACCUUUCAGUCAGCAGGAAUAUUGUAUGAUUUUUGUUGUUUUAUUUAUAGAACUUCUAGUGGAUUUCAGUUGUUGCUGCCACUUUGCUGUGAAUUCUGGGAGUUGUGGUGCUUUGCUUCAACAUUGUAGCAUUGUGAGGUAUGUGGCCUUGCCUUUUUAUUAAGACAUUUAACAACCGAUUUUUAGAGAAGCAGUGUAAGAGCGAUUACUUGAUAGCCCGCUGGAGUUGUAUUCAUUUAUAGCAGUCUUUUUUUCUUAGCUUAAAUCGGCUUGGUAUUAAUUGUGCUGAAGUGAAAAAAGUUCAACAAAUAGCAAUUGGCAUUAUGCUUAAUAUAUAUGGUUACUCCUUGCCAAAUCAUGUUUAAAACAAUGAAUUUAAUUAAUGGCUAACGUAAGCAUAAAGCACACUUAGCUUAAUAACCGACCGGAGUUGUUCUGGUUAAAAAUACAUCUGUGUUAACCUCAAAGGUUAAUCAAAGGUGAAUACAUUACAUGUAUAGCACAAACCAUGUUUUGAUGUUGGUUUAAGCUAUUGGAAAAUAUUCCAAAAGCUAAUUUAAGCUUAUGGCUGUUAUAAUUCAGGGUUGGUUGAAAAAUUAGGGAUGGAGUUCUCUUGCCGUUCUUUUUUUCUUUUGUACAUAAAUGUAACGAGAUAGCCCUAAAAGAUUAUAGCUUCAAUCUGUGUUACUCAAUCAUGAGUUGUGGUACAAACGUUUUCAAACCUUCAAGACUCGAUUAACCCAUAUUUUCAGGAGUUUGACCUGUAGCCAAAUAUCACACAAGCUGUUACAAAUAGUUUGACGUCUCAUCUGACCGACCAACUGACUAUGGACUGCAAUUGUGACACUGGGACAACCCUAAUCAAAUCUCAGAACUAGAAUGUGAACAUUUUUAUUUUAGGGAUUGUUUUGUUGUUGUUAUUGUACUGAAACAGCCACAGAUAGCUUCCUGAAAGGUUAGCUUCUUUCUGGAACUCAAGCUUGACGGUUCCACAGUUUGAACGUAACCAUGGUGACCGCAACUGUCCAAUGAGCUCUCAUUCCGUGGGGGGAGUCAUAUAUUACAGCUAAUCCUCUCGGUUUCAACUAUAGGAAAUACCUUUUUUGGUUGUGCUAACCUAUAUUUAUGUUUAUGUCAAGGAUCAUUUAAGUUUAGGUUUGGUUUAAGUUAUAUAUGUUUUAAGGAAAAUUAAGGAAAAAAAUUAUCGAUACAAGGAAAGUUUAGGGUCUAUGAUAGUGUAAUAUGUGAUUGAGCACGGAAUGAGAACUGAAAAAAAACUCACAAAUGAUGCUGCGUGUUUAACCGAUAAAGGCAGCUGAUGGACAUCCUGGCGGUGGGGAUUAUUCGCUGUGGUUCCCAACCGGUGGGUUCUGAGCCACAGGAGGGCCGCGGAUUGAGGACCACCGGUGUAGCUAUCUGUGGUUGGAGACUUGUAAGAUUACUGAACAUUUGUGUUGCAAUUGUGUGUGUGCGUGUGUGUAUGUGUGGGGGGGAGGGUAAAAAAAAAGAACCCUGUGGUAUAGGCAUUUGGAAAGGCAUCUUGUUAGCCGGCAUACCUUGGAGGUUGUUCAAGCUAAACCACAAACAACAUUGAAACUGUGUAUGACACACUUAAACCAAUUGUAAACAAGUAUGCAUGUAUCUACUGACAAUAAACUCAAAACAAAGUA